rnacentral:rRNA from 1 species
UACCAGCACCCCGAGUGGUCGGGACGAUUAUUGGGCCUAAAGCAUCCGUAGCCGGUCCUACAAGUCUUCCGUUAAAUCCAACUGCUUAACAGGUGGGCUGCGGAAGAUACUAUAGAGCUAGGAGGCGGGAGAGGCAAGCGGUACUCGAUGGGUAGGGGUAAAAUCCGUUGAUCCAUUGAAGACCACCAGUGGCGAAGGCGGCUUGCCAGAACGCGCUCGACGGUGAGGGAUGAAAGCUGGGGGAGCAAACCGG